rnacentral:rRNA from 1 species
AUUGAACGCUGGCGGCAGGCCUAACACAUGCAAGUCGAGCGGUAGCACAGAGAGCUUGCUCUCGGGUGACGAGCGGCGGACGGGUGAGUAAUGUCUGGGAAACUGCCUGAUGGAGGGGGAUAACUACUGGAAACGGUAGCUAAUACCGCAUAACGUCGCAAGACCAAAGUGGGGGACCUUCGGGCCUCAUGCCAUCAGAUGUGCCCAGAUGGGAUUAGCUGGUAGGUGGGGUAACGGCUCACCUAGGCGACGAUCCCUAGCUGGUCUGAGAGGAUGACCAGCCACACUGGAACUGAGACACGGUCCAGACCCCUACGGGAGGCAGCAGUGGGGAAUAUUGCACAAUGGGCGCAAGCCUGAUGCAGCCAUGCCGCGUGUGUGAAGAAGGCCUUCGGGUUGUAAAGCACUUUCAGCGGGGAGGAAGGCGAUAAGGUUAAUAACCUUGUCGAUUGACGUUACCCGCAGAAGAAGCACCGGCUAACUCCGUGCCAGCAGCCGCGGUAAUACGGAGGGUGCAAGCGUUAAUCGGAAUUACUGGGCGUAAAGCGCACGCAGGCGGUCUGUCAAGUCGGAUGUGAAAUCCCCGGGCUCAACCUGGGAACUGCAUUCGAAACUGGCAGGCUAGAGUCUUGUAGAGGGGGGUAGAAUUCCAGGUGUAGCGGUGAAAUGCGUAGAGAUCUGGAGGAAUACCGGUGGCGAAGGCGGCCCCCUGGACAAAGACUGACGCUCAGGUGCGAAAGCGUGGGGAGCAAACAGGAUUAGAUACCCUGGUAGUCCACGCUGUAAACGAUGUCGAUUUGGAGGUUGUGCCCUUGAGGCGUGGCUUCCGGAGCUAACGCGUUAAAUCGACCGCCUGGGGAGUACGGCCGCAAGGUUAAAACUCAAAUGAAUUGACGGGGGCCCGCACAAGCGGUGGAGCAUGUGGUUUAAUUCGAUGCAACGCGAAGAACCUUACCUGGUCUUGACAUCCACAGAACUUAGCAGAGAUGCUUUGGUGCCUUCGGGAACUGUGAGACAGGUGCUGCAUGGCUGUCGUCAGCUCGUGUUGUGAAAUGUUGGGUUAAGUCCCGCAACGAGCGCAACCCUUAUCCUUUGUUGCCAGCGGUCCGGCCGGGAACUCAAAGGAGACUGCCAGUGAUAAACUGGAGGAAGGUGGGGAUGACGUCAAGUCAUCAUGGCCCUUACGACCAGGGCUACACACGUGCUACAAUGGCAUAUACAAAGAGAAGCGACCUCGCGAGAGCAAGCGGACCUCAUAAAGUAUGUCGUAGUCCGGAUUGGAGUCUGUAACUCGACUCCAUGAAGUCGGAAUCGCUAGUAAUCGUAGAUCAGAAUGCUACGGUGAAUACGUUCCCGGGCCUUGUACACACCGCCCGUCACACCAUGGGAGUGGGUUGCAAAAGAAGUAGGUAGCUUAACCUUCGGGAGGGCGCUUACCACUUUGUGAUUCAUGACUGGGGUGA